AUGGCUCGUUUGUAUCCAGAUGAUUUAGGGAGUGAAAGCAAGAUUGAAGAACUUAGUGUCCAACUUGAUAACUUCCUUGAAAAUGUUCGUGAUGAUUCAAGACUCUCCAAUUUGAAAGGGGUUAGUGAUCUUUGCAGAAAACUAGUUGAGACAAAGAAGUACAAUACCUUUCCUCUAGUAUUUCUUUUGGUAAAGCUAGCAUUGAUCUUGCCGGUGGCGACGGCAACAGUUGAGAGAGCAUUUUCCGCAAUGAAAUAUAUCAAGUCUGAUUUGCGCAAUAGAAUAGGCGAUGAUUUCUUGUACCAUUGUCUCAUAACUUAUGUUGAAACCGAUGUAUUCCAGUCUAUUAGUACUGAUGCUAUUAUGCAUACAUAUCAAUGUAUGCAUCAUCGCAAAGUACUACUGCCAUGGAUAUGCUGGUUUGUAAUAAAGUACGAUGUUUUCAUUCCUGUUUAUGAUCUAAUUUUUUUUAUUAGUGAAGCUUGA
rnacentral:rRNA from 1 species